GUUCUCCUACGGGGGGCAGCAGUAGGGAAUCUUCCACAAUGGGCGAAAGCCUGAUGGAGCAACGCCGCGUGGGUGAAGAAGGUCUUCGGAUCGUAAAACCCUGUUGUUAGAGAAGAAAGUGAGUGAGAGUAACUGUUCACGAUUCGACGGUAUCUAACCAGAAAGCCACGGCUAACUAUGUGCCAGCAGCCGCGGUAAUACGUAGGUGGCAAGCGUUAUCCGGAUUUAUUGGGCGUAAAGGGAACGCAGGCGGUCUUUUAAGUCUGAUGUGAAAGCCUUCGGCUAAACCGGAGUAGUGCAUUGUG
rnacentral:rRNA from 1 species